UGGUUAUGCACCACAGGUUGCAUAGAGUGGAAGGCAGCUCCAUCCCCACCCUGAGAACACUCGCCCAGCUCACGAGGAGCUGCAGGCCUGAAGAUCCUCACUGGGCAGGUAAGCACUCUGGCAACCAAGCAACAACACAGAAACCAGCAAAAGCUACCUCCCACUCAACCCCAGCACAACAAUGCAGGCUUUCUGACUGUGGCUUAGCUCUGACACACCAAGAAACUCAGAUGCUGUGGGAACGACAGUACACUGUAUUCAGGAACUGAGAAUCUAAUGAUCUUGGCGAUGAACACAGGGGUAACUACCGUUGUCACAUUUUAUAUAACUCACUGAUGACUUGCUUUUAUUCCUUCUGUGAUGUUUAACUGGCCCAUUUCACUAUGAAAUCUGCCCAUCUUCUUCAAAUGCAAUUCCGCAGCAAUUGCAAAAAUCACCCGGCUUAACAACAUGAUCUAUAACACCAGUCUAUUUCAAAAAGUGGUUUACUUCAAAAAAAAAAAUAGAAGCUCUGCUUAUUUAUUUAAGAUUUCUAUGCAUUUUUCUUCAAAAUCCUGCAGAGCAGAAAAACAUUUAUUUUAUAUUUUUUUAUACUUGAGGAUGCAUCCAGGUAUAUCUACGUACAGCAACUGAUAUUUAAAGGAAAAAAAGAAACACAAAAAAGCAAUAUUUUGAGACAUUUUAUUUCUAAAUUAAUUUUAAUAAAAAAAUCCUUUCCAAGUUUGCACUUGUGAUUUUAGAGAUAUAAAUACAGACAUAGAUCAGCCAAUCAGUUACAAAUACAACAUCAGCAUCAUAUUAUCCUCCUCUUUUCACUGCAAAAAUAUUGAGAGCUCUCUUCAAAAAAAUAUGCUUAACAAAUAUGGUAAUAAUAGAUAUGAUCAUUUAUUUUUCCAAACACAAAGAAAGAAAUUAUUAUUAUGUAUGGAUUGCCUAUGUACAGAUGCCAGCUCAUUCCAGAACAAAACAUGGAACAUUAUAAAAGAAAGGAAGGAAGUUUCUGUGUGUGAGACAGUAGAAAAAGAAGGGGAAAAAAGGAACUGGCAACUAAAAUCAGUUCAGAAAUUCUACAUCACUGUUACACAAAAUCUAGCCCUGAUUUUGAAGUUACACAUCAGAGCUGCUCGAAAAGUAAUGCCUCCUAUUUUACUGUGUUGGUCCAUGAUGUCAGAAGUGGAUGCUGGUGGUAUGGCAGUAGAGGUUGAACUUUCCCAUCAACAAUCAAUGACAUUUAAACUACCUUCAGCAAGUUUGCAAAUGACACCAAGCUGACCUGAACAAGCUUAAUCAGGGGCCCAUGUGAAUCUACUGAGGUUCAACAAGGCUAAGUGCAAGGCGCUGCACUUGUGCUGGGGCAAUCUCAGACAUGAGUACAGAUUAGGGGAAGAACCCAUUGAGAAAAGCCCUGCAGAGAUAGACGUGAGGGUUCUGGUAAACGAGAAGCUGGACAUGAGCCAGAAGCAUUCACCUGCAGCCUGGAAGGCCAACUGUAUCCUGGGCUGCAUUAAAAGAGAGAUGGCCAGGAGCCCAAGAAGUGAUUUCCCCCUCUAUUCUACGCUCAUGAAGCCCCAUCUGAAGUACUGCAUCCAAGUCUGAGGCCUCCAUCAUAAGAAAGCUGUGGAACUGUCAGAGUGGGUCCAGAGGAAGGCUGCAAAGAUGCAGAGGCUGGAACACUUCUCCCGUGAAGAGAGGCUGAGGGAGCUGGACCUCAGCUUGGAGCCUGGAGAAGAAAAGGCUCUGCAGAGAUCUCACUGUGACCUGCCAGUACUAAAAUUGUACUUAUAAAAAAGAUGGAGAGCAACCUUUUACAUGGGCAGACAGUGACAGGACAAAGGGGAAUGGCUUUAAGCUGAAAGAAGAGAGAUUUAGAUUAGAUAUUGGGAAGAGAUUGUUUACCCAGAGGGCGGUGAAACACUGGCACAGGCUGCCCAGAGAAGCAGUGGGUGCCCCAUCCCUAGAGGUGUUCAAGGCCAGGCCGGAUGGGGCCCUGGGCAGCCUGAGCUGGUGGGUGGUAAUCCUGCCCACGGCAGAGGGUUGGGCUAGAUUACUUUUAAGGUCCCUUCCAACCCAAGCCAUUCUGUGAUUCCAUGAAUUCUGUUUGAAAGUGAUAAAAGCACACAUAAUCAGGCAUACAUAUUAAUGACACUGGACCAAGUGAAGUCAUUAACUUAUCUUAACAGUACAUAAAAAAAACAUACAAAACCAAAUCCAUUAAUUAUUUUAAAAUACAUUUAAUUAAAAAUAUGAAAGUAGCUCUUCUUCUAAGUAUGUCUACAUACCAACAUAGACUAAAAUUUUAUUCAUUGGGAGUUCUACAACCUGCAUCUUCAGAAUGGCUCUGGUUUCCACAUUCUGUUUUGCCCCAAGAAAAGCACAAGCAGUAGAUUGACCUUUUUAGGGGUGGAGGAAGCAAGGUCUUCCUUGGAAUAGAGGGUUAAAAAAAGAGAUGGUGAGGGAGGAUAGGCAGUUCCCCAUUAGGAACCAUAUUCUCAAAGGGUGGAGCUCUACGUCCUCAGUAUAGCCCCUUUCUGCAUGAGUCACCACUCAGCCAUUCCCCUCUUUCCAGAUAUGCAAGCUGCUCCUAUCAGUAUCUUUUAAGUUGUCACUACAAUGAGAAUUUUACUAACACAGUGACCCAAAUUCACUAAAAAGAAUGCACAUUAUAGUACUUUAACACAGCUGUACAAAGCUUGCAGAGCAUGUGAAAAUCAAAAUAAGAAAAAACUCUCCAAGUAAUUAGCAGUUUAGCUAACAGAAUUCCAAACACUUUCAGGAACAGCAUCUAUUACAUCACAUUGAGCACAACAGUCUCUGAAUUGAACUGUAGCUACUGUUUAAUGGCACACAGCACUCAACAGUUACAUUUAAGACAAAGUAAAGAAUGUUCAACUGAAAUAACAGACAUUUGGGAGGAGACAAAACACCAGCUAUUUUGAAAAUACAGGGCCUCCCACUCACUGUGAAUCACUAAAUUUAAGCUCAGCAUUUAAAUAUUUCUCCAAACUUGCAUUCAUGACAUAUUUGACGUUUGCAGAAGUCUUUUAGGAGAACUGUAUUCUUUCAGUGCAUAGUGGGUUGACUCCAGUUAGAGCCAGCGCACAGUGUUAGAAAUAACAAUGAUGGGGAAAGAAAAAUAUGAAGAUUAUCUGCACAAGUAACAAUUAAUUAUCUUUUUGUCUCCUAUUGCUAAAAGAAAUCUAUGAUUAAAGGAACAUGGACGUAGGACAAGUCUUAGUUCAAUCUUCAAACAGAAACAAUUUGUAUUAUUUCAGAUCAGGCAGUGGUAUGGUUUCACGAUACAGCUGAACCAACAGCUGAACACCAACAAGAAAGGGAGUUACGUUCUUCUCACUGUUGCUAUUCCCUCCUUAAAUGUAAAAUCUCUCCUUCCUCCUGUUCCAGGUGCACCUUCUUUCCUUCUUCCUAUCCCAGCUCCUCAGGCCAGCAUCAGUGCCUGUCUCACAUACAGUGAGUGAAUUCACUUCACUUACUGAAGAAACAAAAAAAAUCCCAUUUUUGCUGAAUUAGUUUUCUGUUAUUUUAGUGAGCUGAACUGAUUUGCUGUGUGAUCAGAUGGACAUCAAAAAAUUCAAAAACAUGCUGAACAUAACAGCAAGGUGUAAGAAAGAACUACACCACCAUAAAACAACAGAAUCAAAGCCCUCAGAGCUCCCAUGGCUCACUCAGUUCCACUUCACUUCAAGAAAAUGGGACACCAGAAAAAAUACGAUUAUUAUGUGAGAGACAUCACUACUACUAUAGCAGUUAGAAAGUGCAGAGAAGAACGGUGUUUUGUAUUGCCCUACUUUCUUUUAGAGCAAACAAUUUAACUCUGUUAACUGACUAUGAGCAGGGAAAUAACAGGAUACGUUUUUGCAAAUAAAGUCUAGGCUAAGGACUUCUUUGUAAAACUUCUUACAGAAGAACUUAGUCAUUUCAUCAGUUCACCAAAAGUACAUAAUACUUUUUUUUUUGUAAUGUUUUUGUGUUGCUGUCCUAAGUAUCCUUAGGUUCUUGAAAGUUCAAAUGCUCUCCCAGAAUGUCAUAAGGGAGAUUUCUGUGAACUGCUGCUUGGAGGGAGACCCUUCUCCAACAAAGACGACGACUCAUUCACAUGUGUGCUGGCACUUGCUCUCAGAACUCUGUCGCUCAGGUCCUAAACAUGACAGAUGCUAAGCAGGAUAAGAGAACAUCCAAACUCCAGCACUAAAUGUAGGAGCUUGAAUAUAUUUCAUGUCCUGAAAAGUUAACUGGAUGAUACUGGUAACCGACGGUGUUUGCAAGUCACUCUGGUGAGGUCUACAGAGAGAACUAGAAAAGCAAUUACAACUUACUUUGUAAAAGUUUUUCAGCUAAAUGACAAGACAGUGAUUGUGCUGAGCACUCCUGUUGCUCCCAGCUUUCAACAAGCGUUUUGAAGUUUUAAAUUCUGAGCCUCGAUUUUAACUGCAUCAGAGACUACAUACUAAAAUAGUUUAGCCAUCUCUUCACAUGGCCAUGUACAGCAGCAAAAUGCACACUUGAUCUCUUGAGGAUCCAUCAAUUAGCUUUUUUAAAACUAAACAUUAAGUCAAAGUGGUAUUUCACUACAUGUUAACUCAGCACACAUAGAUCCAUUCCAUAUGUUCUUCAAAAGAAAGUAAACAAUUUGAUAUUGCUUACUCUGCUGAAAAUAAAGUAGUAACUACUUAUACUACGUUUGAUUUUGACUGGUAGUGUUUAUAAAUUAAAAAAAUAAUAAUCACCUAUAACAACCAAGUCUUCUCUAUUCUGCACUAUCAUGCUGCCAAGUAUGUUUAGCAACUGCUAUAGUUCAUAGAAAUGUGGUUCCAUUUAUAGAUCAAUAUACAUAAUGAGAGAACUUGAGAAUAUUGUAUCUGAAUAUUAAGAUAGGGUAGUAAAAAUGACACUAAAACACCACUGAAGCAUUCUUUCCUAUGUAUGUACGUCCAGUAAGGACGUAUUUAUGAUGUUAAAAUACAGAGUCAUUUGGUUUCAGAGAUUAACUUAUGACACUGGUGAGGAGGGGAAAGGGAAGAAAAGUCUGAUCUCAAAAGAAAAUAAAUAAGAAGCAUCAAAGGAAACUGCCUACACUGUUGGGAACCCUGAGAGAGCCACAGACCAAGUUAUGCUUGGCAUGAAAGUAUAAGUUCUUUAUUUCAUUGAGUCAGUUACCAUUCAGGCUUCUGCGUAGUACUUCCAAUGGAGCAAAAGAGGCAUCCAGUUAUCAUAAACUCAGUAAAAGCAAAACCAUAUACAUUUCAGAUGGAAAAAAAACAGUAUUUUAACCCAAGUCAUAUAAUCUACAAUAACUAUUUAUGAAAACCAAGAACUGAUCAGUCCUAAACUGUGAUAGAGGAAACCGCAUCACCAGAAAGUUGUUAAAAAUUACUUAGGGGCAUGAAAAGAAAAAAAAAAAAUCUGGUCAACUAAUAAGAAAUUAUUUCAGGCUCCUAGUGUCCAAUCUAAUAAAUAAUUACAUCUAAAAUAUUGCAAACAGAGUAUUUUAAAUACUACAUUGAAAAAAUAGUCGGUUUUUUUUUCAACCAUCAACGAUCAGGAAAAUCAGUAACAGUUACAUACGCCUUUAGCUUCAGGAAUAACUAAAGAUAACAAAACUGACAGUCAGUGAAGAUACUGGAGGAAUCUAAUGAGCAAGCUGACUCAAGAGGUUUCAGUAAGGUACAAAUGAAGAAGCCCUUGAGUCUUUGCUCUCAUCCUUAAAAUCAGCAAGACACUCUUCCUACAUAAAUGCACAAUGAUUUAAACUCUGCGUUUUCAUUUUUAGUUCUUCAAUAAUGUUUUUAAUACCAAAAUACUACAGCUAAGAUUCUUUUUCAGAAACAUUUUAAUCAAGACGUAUCAGUAAGAUUUAACAUGCAGAAUACUGUAGCAGUAAUUCUGGAGAUGAAUCAUAGAAUGUCCCAAGUUGGAAGGGAUCCAAAAGGAUCACUGAGUUCAACCACUGGCUCCACACAGGACCACCAGUUAUCCAGUGGUUGCUUCUACGCAUGUUGCCACGUGUGUCAGCAGCACACCAGGGGCUCUCAAUUUUGAUCUCAGCGCUGAGGAGUCACCAUCUGCCAGAGAGCCCCUGUGCCAGCUGCUGCUCCCUAUCACUCUUUCUUCCCCAUCCCUCAUCCCUCCCCAAGACCUCUCACCUCUUCUUCCCCAAGCUCUGAAGAAAAGGGAAGGACCGGGACUGGCAUCCUCUGAGCUGCUGUGCUGGGACAACAGGAGGAGCCCAGCAGAUGGCCCUGAGCUCCCUGCAGCCUCCAGACAGUGUCAGAGAAGCCACAGAGGCAGCUGUUUCUUUGGAGAAUCUGGAGACCUUGGUUUGGACAGGAGGAAGGGCUGAUGUUCAUCAUGAAGGUCCAAUCCAGUUGUUACAUUAGGGCUUCUUUUCAAGACAGAACAAUAAACAUAAUAAAAUAAAUAAAUAAAUAAAUAACCAGUAAA